GCGGGAGUAGCUCAGUUGGUAGAGCGCAACCUUGCCAAGGUUGAGGUCGCGAGUUCGAGACUCGUCUCCCGCUCC
rnacentral:tRNA from 18 species